AUAAAUAAUACAUUAAAUGCAAAAAAAUUCUGGAAAAAUAAGUGUUUUCUUCUCUCAAAUUGUCAAGUAAAAAAUCCUAUUCUCAAAUUUUCAUCUUAUUCGAUUUUCAUCACCAUUACCAGAUCAGCUUCAUGUCUCUCUUAACUCACCAUCAUCAUCUCAAAAGAUAACCAUCAUCCACGCCAAAAUAACUUCAUCUCAAAACUCAGAUUUGGCUUCUUCUUCUCUCUCUCUCUCUCUCUCUCUCUCUCUCUUUUUUGCUAUUUUUGGGCUAUGGUUUUAUUGGUUAUGGGUAUAGAUUAUUGAUGGUGGGGUUGGGUUAUUGAUGAUGUAGAUUGAGGUGCAGAAGAUGGUGGUAGUGGGGGCUCAGGGAGGGAGGUGGUGUGGAA
rnacentral:lncRNA from 1 species